UGUGACCUCAAAUCAGGUAGGACUACCCGCUGAACUUAAGCAUAUCAAUAAGCGGAGGAAAAGAAACUAACAAGGAUUCCCCUAGUAACUGCGAGUGAAGCGGGAAAAGCUCAAAUUUAAAAUCUGACAGUCUUUGGCUGUCCGAGUUGUAAUCUA
rnacentral:rRNA from 1 species